rnacentral:rRNA from 1 species
UGGGGAAUAUUGGACAAUGGGGGAAACCCUGAUCCAGCAAUGCCGCGUGUGCGAUGAAGGCCUGCGGGUUGUAAAGCACUUUCGGUGGGGAAGAAAUACUCAAAGAUAAUACCUUUGAGUGCUGACGUUACCCAUAGAAGAAGCACCGGCAAACUCUGUGCCAGCAGCCGCGGUAAUACAGAGGGUGCAAGCGUUAAUCGGAGUUACUGGGCGUAAAGGGCGCGUAGGCGGAUCUUUAAGUCGAUUGUGAAAUCCCUGGGCUUAACCUAGGAAUUGCGGUCGAUACUGAUGAUCUAGAGUAUGGUAGAGGAAAGUAGAAUUCUCGGUGUAGUGGUAAAAUACGUAGAUAUCGAGAGGAAUACCGGUGGCGAAGGCGACUUUCUGGGCCAAUACUGACGCUGAGGCGCGAGAGCGUGGGGAGCAAACA